rnacentral:RNase_P_RNA from 1 species
AUCCGCUUGUUUCCAUCGUGGGAUGAGAGGAAAGUCCGGACACCUUAGGGUAGGAUUCCUUGUGAAAGCAAGGGUGUUGUGUUUCAAAGCAUAGCAACGGCUAGUGUCACAGAAAAUAAACCGCCUGAUUUUGUUAUCAAAAUUAGGUAAGGGUGAAAAGGUGUGGUAAGAGCACACCGCUUGGAGGGCAACCAACAGGGCAAGAUAAACCCAAUCUGGUGCAAGACAAAAUAGGGGAUCGAGCGGCCCGUUCUUAGAUCUCGGGUAUGUCGCGCUUGGUAUUAGAAUCCUGACCGUUUCUUUUGCCGAGAUCUCGCAAGAGAUAGAUAAAUGGAUAUCCUCCUUUUUCAGAGUGGGGAGACAGAAUCCGGCUUAUGC